AGCAUUCAUUUUAUAUGCGGUCAGUUUCCAUUCGACAUGACUAACAUAGAAUAGAAUUUAAUGCUGACCCCAAACAUACUCUCUCACCUUCUAAAUGCUUAACCAAUGUUAACCCCAAUUUUUCAUAAACUAAACCUAAAUUUUAAAAGGCCAGUAAAAUGCAUUAUCAUUCUACAUGAGGCGUAUAGAAUAGAAAUGGUAAAAAUGUAUUUGCAAUCUAAAGAUCAUCUUAACAUAUUUUUCAAAUGCUGAUAUGGUCAUGCCUUCAUGGAAGGUGGUAAUGCUUGCCCCAAUGCCAACUCCAAUUGUACAUAAACUAAACCCAAUCAACUAUCACUAAACUCUACAUAAAAAUAUAAACCCUAAUCCAAUGUCAACUCCAAUCUUCAAUAAACUAAACCCUAGCCACUAAUCACUAAACCCUAUAUGGAAAUAUAAACCCUAAUCCAAUAUCAACCUCAAUCUUUCAUAAACUAAACCCCUAACAUGCAUUUCCAUUCUACAUGAGAUAUAGAAUAUAAAAUGUGACAAACGAUAUAGCUCAGUACAUAUAUAUAUUGUUCAAAUUUUGAAGUGUCUAUGAUUGUAGGAGCAAAUAUUAUGUACUACGUUAUAUCGGUAAACUAAAUCCACGUGCAAUAAUACAAGGGACAUGUAUUUACAUUCUUCAUUAGCCACAUGAAAUAUAAAACUAAUG
rnacentral:lncRNA from 1 species